AAUACAGUUUUAUAUCUUUAUGUUUGAAGCCUGAAAUGUGGCAAAAGGUCACAAUGUUCAAGGGGGCCGAAUACUUUCGCAAGGCACUGUACCACACCCCUCGGGCCGUAUUGCAUAAUUUUACUCUUUGAAGAAAAUGUCUAUCUAUCAAAAGCCCAGCACACCCUGUAAAUCUCCAGGACUAGGGUUAGAGACUCUGUUAAAUUUAAUUUAACUAUUAUUGAUGGAAACUGCUACAAUUAGCUGUAAUAACAGGUUGUAGUAUAUAUUGUGUGCUGAUAGGUGUAUUGUGUUGUUGUAGUAAAAUGACUGGUCUGUAUUGUGUUUCUUUGUGUGGUUUCCAGCCCUGCUCCUGUGUCCCCUCAGAUCAGCACAUCCUGUCCCAGGAGUUUACACUACAAUCCUGCUGUGCUUUUUGGGAUAAUCAGCCUCUUCUCUGCUGGCCUGUCUUCUGCUUCUGGACACCAUGGAUUGUCAAAUCCAGAUUGUCACAUGAAGACCAGUGCCCCUAA
rnacentral:lncRNA from 1 species